AUGUUUUCCAGACUGCCAUCUAACACCAAGGACUUCCUUUAAAAGUAAACUGGACAGUCAUUGUUCUUCUGAUUUUCUACUUGUGUCUGACAAGUCAAUGUGUCCACAUCGGUCCACAUAAACAAACCUAUACAGUUCUAAAAUCUAAUAACAUUUGGCAGAGCUUCAGCUCUCCAGUCCUUUGGGAACCUCCUGGCACCGCCUCAUCAAUACCACGGCGUGGUGGCAGGCUCAAAAAAACAAUGUGUACUGUACUAACGAUGUCAACAAAAACUAACAAAGACCUCCGCUUCCUGUUGGCUCCUCUCUGCUGCUGCCUGGCAGCGAAAGCAGAAGUCAUGUGCUCCAGCGCGGCCUCAUCAUCGGUGGCAGUGGUACCGGGUAUGAUGGCAUGGCAGACCCGGUCACAGAUGGUACACUUAGGCGCCCCAGAGGCUGCCUGCUGACAGGACACACACAUUACACAAGAAACACUGUUAUCCUCCGCUUCCGCUUCAGACACUCUGACCAAACACCUCCGUCAGGUCUUCCUCUGUACAAAUAUGACUGAUACACUCUUUAGGUAUCUGGCACACUUCUCCAUAUACCUGAAUACUCUUUUUUUUUAUGCCUCACACCGGCAAUAGUUAACAGGAAUAUAUUAAUAUUACUUAAUAUCUAGAAGAUCAACAAUUCUAACCUAAAUGUUUGAACUAUGUCAAUUUUCUGAGGAGUUAGUGGUAAUAUAGAAAAUCUAAAUUUGGUCAAAGAUGCCCAUAACCUUUUGUGCAGCAGAUAAUUGCACUGUGGCGUUAGUUCUGAGUUUCUGUUCCCGGGUCUGCAGGGAGAUUCUGAACAGGCUCACUUUCUUGCUCUUUCUAAAUUGACCUUAUUGACUCCAUCUCCGUCUCUUUCUUGUGAUAAAGUGCUUUUGGCAGAUCUCAUUAAAGCUAGACGUUACAUCUAAAAGAGGCUCAUAGCUGAUCUCCCCAAGGCCUCGCAUCUCUUUAGCAACAUCGAAAAGUUCUUGAAUCAAUCAGAAAUUUGAAAAGCCCCCGCCGUUCCUUGUCCCGCCAGUCUUUAGACGUCUUUGGUGGUGGCGGUUGGAGAGUAUAAUGAGGAUAUGACCUCCGGCAAAGCCAAAUAUUAAACUGUAAAAGUAAAUAAAAGUGAGUAGAGUGUUAACUCA